GCCUGGGCAAUGGCGGGCGCCCCUCCCCCAGCCUGGCUGCCGCCUUGCAGUUUGAUCUCAGACUGCUGUGCUAGCAAUCAGGGAGACUCCGUGGGCGUAGGACCCUCCGAGCCAGGUGUUACCGUGAGAAAAUAUCUUGAACUUCUACUCUGUUUCCACCAUGAUAUGUCCACGUACAGUUUCAGCAUACACAUUGUGCUUAACCUGUGAAUUGAUGUAAUACCAAUUUUGAAAAAACAUUUGCUAUUCUAUCUUUAAAUAGUUUCUUCUGUGCAAUUUUACUUCAACUUCUUGAGCUUCAAUGACUAUGUUUCAUAUUAUGAUUUAAUUUUAUAUUCAAUAUUUGUAUUUUAUAGCAUCCCUUUAAUCUUGCAAGCUCCAUUUUCUUUUAUUUACUCUUUGAUAUGGUUUGGAUUUGUGUCCCCACUCAAAUCUCAUGUAGAAUUGUGAUCCCCAGUGUUGGAUGAGGAGCCUGGUGGGAAGUGAUUGGAUUAUGGGGAUGGAUUUCUCCUGUGCUGUUCUCAUGGUAGUGAGUGAGUUCUCAUGAGAGCUGGUUGUUUAAAAGUGUGUAUCAACUCCCACUGCUCACUCUUCCUUCUGCUCCAUCCAUGUAGGAUGUGCCAGCUCCUCCUUCACCUUCUGCCAUGAUUGUAAGUCUCCUGAGGCCUCCCUAGCCAUGCUUCCUGUACAGUCUGUGGAACUUUAAU
rnacentral:lncRNA from 10 species